UACGUAGGUGGCAAGCGUUAUCCGGAAUUAUUGGGCGUAAAGCGCGCGCAGGUGGUUUCUUAAGUCUGAUGUGAAAGCCCACGGCUCAACCGUGGAGGGUCAUUGGAAACUGGGAGACUUGAGUGCAGAAGAGGAAAGUGGAAUUCCAUGUGUAGCGGUGAAAUGCGUAGAGAUAUGGAGGAACACCAGUGGCGAAGGCGGCUUCCUGGUCUGUAACUGACACUGAGGCGCGAAAGCGUGGGGAGCAAACAGGAUUAGAUA
rnacentral:rRNA from 1 species